rnacentral:lncRNA from 1 species
CAAAAUGCAAAAAAGAGUUCAAAAGUGAAGAACUUCAAAAACCGCUCAGCUUUUAAGAAAAGCCGAGACUUAACGCCACAACCGCUCAGCGGUCUGCGGUAUUUUUCACUUCUUCUUCUUUGCUUUCUUUUGAGUAAUCUUACCUUAUAGCACUCAGUUUCAACCUUCAAUUUUUCAUUUAUAUGCCUUUCCCCUCUAGUAGGUGUGCUUUGUAACGCUC